GACGAACGCUGGCGGCGUGCUUAACACAUGCAAGUCGAACGGAAAGGCCUGCUUUCCCUUGUGGAUUGCGGGUGCUCGAGCGGCGAACGGGUGAGUAACACGUGAGUGAUCUGCCCCCAACUUGGGUAUAAGCCUGGGAAACUGGGUCUAAUUCCCGAUAGGACUGCAGGGUGGUGCCUGUGGUGGAAAACGAUUUUCUAGUGGUUGGGGAUGAGCUCGCGGCCUAUCAGCUUGUUGGUGGGGUAAUGGCCUACCAAGGCGGCGACGGGUAGCCGGCCUGAGAGGGUGGACGGCCACAUUGGGACUGGGAUACGGCCCAGACUCCUACGGGAGGCAGCAGUGGGGAAUAUUGCACAAUGGGCGGAAGCCUGAUGCAGCGACGCCGCGUGGGGGAUGACGGCCUUCGGGUUGUAAACUCCUUUCGACCGCGAGGAAGCCACCUGGUUGGAAGGGUGGUGACGGUAGUGGUAGAAGAAGCACCGGCUAACUACGUG
rnacentral:rRNA from 1 species